rnacentral:rRNA from 1 species
GCGAGCGGCGGACGGGUGAGUAAUGCCUAGGAAUCUGCCUGAUAGUGGGGGAUAACGUUCGGAAACGGACGCUAAUACCGCAUACGUCCUACGGGAGAAAGCGGGGGAUCUUCGGACCUCGCGCUAUCAGAUGAGCCUAGGUCGGAUUAGCUAGUUGGUGGGGUAAAGGCUCACCAAGGCGACGAUCCGUAACUGGUCUGAGAGGAUGAUCAGUCACACUGGAACUGAGACACGGUCCAGACUCCUACGGGAGGCAGCAGUGGGGAAUAUUGGACAAUGGGCGAAAGCCUGAUCCAGCCAUGCCGCGUGUGUGAAGAAGGUCUUCGGAUUGUAAAGCACUUUAAGUUGGGAGGAAGGGCAGUCAGCUAAUACCUGGUUGUUUUGACGUUACCAACAGAAUAAGCACCGGCUAACUUCGUGCCAGCAGCCGCGGUAAUACGAAGGGUGCAAGCGUUAAUCGGAAUUACUGGGCGUAAAGCGCGCGUAGGUGGUUCAGCAAGUUGGAUGUGAAAG